AGUGAACGCUGGCGGUAGGCUUAACACAUGCAAGUCGAACGGCAGCACAGUAAGAGCUUGCUCUUACGGGUGGCGAGUGGCGGACGGGUGAGGAAUAUAUCGGACUCUACUUUUUCGUGGGGGAUAACGUAGGGAAACUUACGCUAAUACCGCAUCCGACCUACGGGUGAAAGCAGGGGAUCUUCGGACCUUGCGCGAUUGAAUGAGCCGAUGUCGGAUUAGCUGGUUGGGGGGGUAAUGGCCCACCAAGUCGCCGAUCCGUAGCUGGUCGGAGAGGAUGGUCACCGACACUGGAAGUUGGACACGGUCCUGACGCCUGCGGUAGGCAGCAGUGGGCUAUAUUGGGCAACAGGGGCGAGCCUUGCCCAGCCGGACCGCGUGGGUUGAGAAGGCCUUCCGUUUGUAAAGACGGUCUGUUGGUAAUGAAAAGCAUUAGGUUGAGACGACGCUGUUCUGACGGUACCCAGUGAAUAAGCACCGGCUAACUACGUG
rnacentral:rRNA from 1 species